AGAGUUUGAUCCUGGCUCAGAACGAACGCUGGCGGCAGGCUUAACACAUGCAAGUUGAACGUGAUUUGUUGGGUGCUUGCACCGAGCAAUGAAAGUAGCGCACUGGUGAGUAACACGUGGGAACGUACCUUUUGGUGGGGAACAACAGUUGGAAACGACUGCUAAUACCGCAUAAGCCCUGAGGGGGAAAGAUUUAUCGCCGAAAGAACGGCCCGCGGAAGAUUAGGUAGUUGGUGGGGUAACGGCCUACCAAGCCGACGAUCUAUAGCUGGUCUGAGAGGACGAUCAGCCACAUUGGAACUGAGACACGGUCCAAACUCCUACGGGAGGCAGCAGUGAGGAAUAUUGGGCAAUGGAGGCAACUCUGACCCAGCCAUGCCGCGUGAGUGAAGAAGGUUUUCGGAUUGUAAAGCUCUUUCGGGUGUGACGAUGAUGACGGUAGCACCUAAAGAAGCCCCGGCUAACUUCGUGCCAGCAGCCGCGGUAAUACGAAGGGGGCAAGCGUUGUUCGGAAUUACUGGGCGUAAAGGGAGUGUAGGCGGUUAUGUAAGAUAGUGGUGAAAUCCCAGAGCUUAACUUUGGAAUUGCCAUUAUGACUAUGUGGCUAGAAUUACAGAGAGGAUAGUGGAAUACCCAGUGUAGAGGUGAAAUUCGUAGAUAUUGGGUAGAACACCAGUGGCGAAGGCGACUAUCUGGCUGUAUAUUGACGCUGAGGCUCGAAAGCAUGGGGAUCAAACAGGAUUAGAUACCCUGGUAGUCCAUGCUGUAAACGAUGAGUGCUUGUUGUCGGUGUAAAAUCGGUGACGAAGUUAACGCGUUAAGCACUCCGCCUGGGGAGUACGGUCGCAAGAUUAAAACUCAAAGGAAUUGACGGGGACCCGCACAAGCGGUGGAUGAUGUGGAUUAAUUCGAUGCAACGCGAAAAACCUUACCUAGCCUUGACAUGCCAGGAAUCCUGAAGAGAUUCGGGAGUGCCCGCAAGGGAAUCUGGACACAGGUGCUGCAUGGCUGUCGUCAGCUCGUGUCGUGAGAUGUUGGGUUAAGUCCCGCAACGAGCGCAACCCCUGUUGCCAGUUGCCAGCAUUAAGUUGGGGACUCUGGCGAGACUGCCGGUGACAAGCCGGAGGAAGGCGGGGAUGACGUCAAAUCAUCAUGCCCCUUAUGACCUGGGCUACACACGUGCUACAAUGGACAGAGCAGAGGGAAGCGAAGCCGCGAGGUGGAGCGAAACCCAUAAAACUGUUCUCAGUUCGGACUGCAGUCUGCAACUCGACUGCACGAAGAUGGAAUCGCUAGUAAUCGCGAAUCAGCAUGUCGCGGUGAAUACGUUCUCGGGCCUUGUACACACCGCCCGUCACACCAUGAGAGUCGGUAACACCCGAAGCCGGUGGCCUAACCGCAAGGAAGGAGCUGUCUAAGGUGGGACUGAUGAUUGGGGUGAAGUCGUAACAAGGUAUCCCUACGGGAACGUGGGGAUG
rnacentral:rRNA from 1 species